rnacentral:lncRNA from 1 species
CUACCUAGUGAAUAUCUAAAUCCGUUUGAGCUGGAAGGAAAUCAACACUCACUAACUGGAUCUUAAGCGCCUGAAUCUACACAAGGUACGUGGAAUAAAGUAAGUACUCCAACUCAGUGAGUAAUAAUAAUAAAUGAAGACCGAGCGAUAGGAAAUCACAUAAAGGAAAAUCAACAGGCUAGAGAGAUGCAGUAAAAUCCAGUAAAAGCAAUGAAACAGUGAAAACAUGUAAACUCACAUGAGUUCAACUAAACUUUCUUUAAAAUGAGUUUUAGCAGUGAAGCAAGUAAAUGACAGGCAACUAGAAAAGAUAAACACAUAAGAAUCCACCCCACGGGCACAAUAUCAACAUAAUUCGUCCUUCGGGUAAUAACAUGGAACAAUACCAACCCAUCGGGCUAUAUCUCAUAUCAUAAUGGGUACCUGCGCUUACUGGGAGUGUAAGACUCCUAAAGGGGCACCUUACGGCCUAAGCUCAAGUCCAAAAACCCGACCACAAAUGACGCCACAAAUCCUCAAGUCUAGGUCUCCAAUACCAAGCCCUAGUAUCCUCAAUUUUAACUCUUAAUUUCCACUAAUACCAUGAUCAACCAAUGGAAAAAUGAUCAUAAACUCAACCAAUGAAGCUUAGGGAACUUAUCAAACUUAUUCUUUUCGAUUUGCCCUUAAAUUCACUGCCCUAGCCGUUUCCAUUCUUCAAAAAAUGGAGAACUUAGAGUCACACCUCCCUUUGUUCCAAACCUCGAGAGGGUAAUAUAAAGGGAAUUUUUCCAAUUAAAGUUACAUUAUUAGAAAUGGAAUUAUUUAUUCGAUUAUCAGAGUCGCCACUUGGGAUAGUUCAUUUGGAGUCUCAAGUCACCGAUUUAUUUUAAAUCCCAAAUCAAGGAAAAUUUUAUUUUUCCUUUCGAAGUACGUGAACCGAAAAUUCUGAAUACGGUAUUAUGUUAACCCGAGAGAAGGUAUUAGGCACCCCCGAAUUCCGAGGUUCUAGCACGGUUGCUUAAACUAUCAUAAUUGGCCUAUUAUCUUAUUUUAAAAGAUGUUUUAGCCUAUGGUUCAAUUUUAACUUUAUAACCGCUUUUAUUUAAUUAUCGUUACAUAUUGCGAAUCAUGUCAUAGGAACCGUACCCACGAUCUACAACAUGUUUAAUUUUUAAAAAUUAAAUUGUGGCGGGUGACAUAAAUUUUCCCCCGCAUUUUAGCAAUUAAUUGUCACAACUACAUCACAAAAAUCGUAGCCGGAGCUACAAAAAUUAUUUAGUUAACGUGCCUAAAUCAAAUUACAAAAUUUCGAGGCUUUCAUGCAUUGGAGGUAUUCAGUAGUCAAUCAAUUACUUAGGAAAUAUUCAGUAGUUAGGUUUAUGAUUCUAUUUGUCCUUUAGCAAAUGUAUUUCGAAACAAGACAUAAGAGGAAGUUUCAGGCAGAACAUAUUUAAUAUGAUACUGAUAUCAUGAGUAGAAUUUUCAUCCUCCUUUUCUGUCAACUUAAUAAUUGUCAAUAACAAUCUAAAAUGUUACACAAUAUAAUAAUAUGCAAAAAAGAUAAAGUUGGGACCUUGAAAUCAGCGGUUUUAGGAUCAGCUUUAGGCUGGACAGAUUGUUUGAGGGAUUGAACAUAUUUUUAGACAUUUUUCGGUUUGUUUUUAUUCUUAAGACCAAUGGUCUUGUCUUUAAUUAUCUUCUGCUUCUUUGCUAGAUCUGCAAAAUCUGCAUUUUUCUUGGCACCAUACAUAUCACAAACCACACAAAAAAAAAAAAAAAAAAAAAGCGGUUUUAGGAUCAGCUUUAGGCUGGACAGAUUGUUUGAGGGAUUGAACAUAUUUUUAGACAUUUUUCGGUUUGUUUUUAUUCUUAAGACCAAUGGUCUUGUCUUUAAUUAUCUUCUGCUUCUUUGCUAGAUCUGCAAAAUCUGCAUUUUUCUUGGCACCAUACAUAUCACAAACCACAAAAAAAAAAAAAAAAAAAAAAUUAACAACCUGUUUGCACGUCUUUCUCAAACCCAAAAAAUACCAUAAAAUUGCAAAACUUUUUUUGGAAAGAGAUAGAUUGAAGUGAGAGCUGCUAUAACACAAAUAUUGCUACGUCUUUUUCAUGAAACAAAAAAAUCACAGAACACAUGGAAAGGGAAUAAAAUAGAGCAGUAAACACAAUAGAUAAUCUACCCAGCGUUGGAAGCAUUUGCUUCCAGUCAAGCUCCUUAAAUUGGUUUCUAUUUGCUUGUAAAUUCCCUUCUAACAGUAGGAUAAUGAAAAUUAAAUUAAAUGAACUCAAAGCAUGAAGAUAUUCAAGUAAUCAACGACAGAUGAUGCAAAAUUCCAAGCUCAUGUCAUUACAAUCAUGUAUGCGAAAUUAAAAAGAGACAGAGAAGAAUUGGACCUUUAAUUAGUUUUGCCAAUAUUUAAAGAACAAUCCAAACAAGGUUACACAGUAAUGGCUAAAAUCAGCAGUAAAAAUGGUGACAAGAAUUGGACCAGGGCGCGACUCACGACCAGAAUCUUUUGACGAAGAAUCCGAACCUGAUUUCGUCUGGACAUCCUUGAACUCCACUCUCAUCACAUAAUAAAAUUGAAUUUGCGAGAAAGCAGCAAAGGAGAUGAAAUCAGUGAUCGGAUAUGAGGAAAAUGGGGAAAAUUAUCUAAGGAAAAAGGAGAGAAAAUCAAGGACAGUUGGUCAUCUCUUUCUCUGAAGAAAAGAGCUACGGGGCGCCAUUUCUAGAAUUUUGGGGGUCUGAUCAUAUUCUCUAGAUCUUU